rnacentral:tRNA from 2 species
CAAACUGUCCUUGUUAGAAGGUUCAUUGUUUACAUCAAUGGUGUGGUCGUGCAAUUCGACUUUGUUUGA